rnacentral:lncRNA from 1 species
CCUCUUGAUAUCUUUGAAACCUAUUGAGAGUCUCGGAUGUAGUUCUUGGUUUCUUUGAUUGUUUUUUUUUCCAUGAAAUUUAAAGGUUAUUAUCUUUUUACCGGUUGACGGGACCGUCAGUUUCAGUUGAGACUUGAGGUUCCGCUUAACGUUUCUCUCUAAUUAGAUUAAUAAGUUUUGAGACUUGAGAUGAAUUGUUUUGUAACCCUUAAAAAGCUUUGAUAGUAGUAAUGCAAUUUCUAGGAAAAAGUGAGCUAAGAAGCUCAAAAGAAAAAAGACUUGGUCACGUUGUAGGCGUUGUCGUUUUUUAAGGCUCGAAUUCAAUUACUUGUAAAAACAAAGUAGCGAAGAUGUCAGCAAAUUAUGGAACAUGCUUUCUCUGUUCCUCCAAGAAAUUUUAAAAUUCGUAGUCCUCCCGGUCAUGGGGUGGGGUUAAUCGUAAUUUCUCAAAAAGCUGAUAACUACUAUAAAAUGAUGGCUGUUGAAGUCUUCUUCUCUCCCUCAAACAAAACUCAAAGUCAGCUUCAUCAAAAGAAGUUUUCCCCACUGGUAUACUUUGAUUCUCCUAUUCAUACUUUUUCAAAAGCGUGUACUCUUUUCUUGCAAGAUAGCAAAUAAAAAGGCCAAAACUUUGGGUCAAUUAUAGACUUUUCUAUCCGUAUUUUGCAGGUGAAAGAACGAUUUGUAAGAGAUGGAGAAAGAAAAAGAGCAAACUUUGGAGUGGAUCAAAGCCCAGAAGAUAGAGAUAAGCGUUGACCUCUUUGCUGCAGCCAAGAAGCACCUCCACUUCCUCCGAGCUGUUGACCGGAACCGUUGGCUCUACGAUGGCCCUGCACUCGAAAGAGCUAUCCACAGGUUAAAUCAAUAUCACCAAUUCGUUUCUGUUCCACUUUUGUGUUCUUUGACCCGUAAUAAAGAAUCUUGGGCUAAUCUCUUUCACAGGGUGUAGUGUAGACUCUCUUUAUCCCUUAGUGUGUCAAAACUCUAAAAUUUGGGGUGAUUUUGUUUUACAGAUACAAUGCUUACUGGCUCCCCUUGCUUGCUAAAUACACCGAGUCUUCUUCGAUAUGUGAAGGACAAUUAGUCCCUCCUCUUGACUGUGAAUGGGUUUGGCAUUGCCACAGGCUUAAUCCGGUAAAUAUAAAUCGAUAUUUCAUAUUCGGUUUAAAUUCUUUGUUGGAUCGUGUACAAGCUCAAAGUGUCGUGUAAUCAUUUCAGGUGAGGUACAAGUCUGAUUGUGAGCAAUUCUAUGGGAGAGUCCUUGACAAUUCUGGUAUUGUAUCCUCCGUAAAUGGAAACAACAAAUCACAAACUGAAACUCUAUGGAAAAGAUUGUAUCCUACGGAGCCUUAUGACCUUGAUUUGGAUAAGGCAAUCUCUGAGCCAGAGGAUGUCCCAGUUCUUGAGAAAUGCACCACUUAUGAUCUUGUUUCAGCUGUCAAGAGACAAAGCCCAUUUUACUACCAGGUAAGAAUCAUGGUCAGCUUCUUGUCCCAAUCCCGUUUUAUUGCAAGAUUUUGUAAUCAAUUUUUUUGUUGUGUAUCUUUGUUGCAGGUUUCAAGAGCUCAUGUAGACAAUGAUGUCUUUCUGCAAGAAGCCGUGGCUAGAUACAAAGCAUUUCUCUACUUGAUCAAGAGAAACAGAGAAAGAUCGAUUAAACUUUUCUGUGUUCCUACUUACGAUAUUGAUCUUAUCUGGCAUACACAUCAGCUUCAUGCUCUCUCUUACUACAAGGAUUUGACAAAGAUGAUUGGUAAGGUCUUGGAGCAUGAUGAUACAGAUUCUGACCGUAGCAAAGGUAAGAAGCUUGAUACUGGUUUCUCUGGAACUACUGCUCAAUGGGAAGAAACAUUUGGUCGAAGGUACUGGAAAGCCGGUGCUAUGAAUAGAGGUAAUACCCCAAAGCCAGUCAUAACUUCUCCUUAUGUUUGGUCUGGCAAGAAAUCAACUGCGAAAGAGGAAGAGUUCCAGAAUGUAAUCCAAUAUCAAGAGGUGAAAGUCACUGAGGUUAUCUUGGAGAUUGUUGGGAUUAAGAACUUACCAGACGCUCACAAGGGAAAGGUCUUUGUUGUGUUCAGCAAAACGCAACCCGAUUCUCUGUUUAACGCUGAGCGUAGGCUUACC